GGGGGGGGGGGGGGGGGGGGGUGGGGGGGGGGGGGCGGGGGGAGGGGGGGGGGGGGUGCUCCGCUGGCGUGUGCGGCGGACGGAUGCGGCGCAAGUGGCGAACCUGCCGAUUGGCCUGGGAUGACUCGGGGGAACCGGAGCUUAUACCGGAUACUAGAUUAAACAGCAUGCAUCAAUAUUGAAAGACUGUUUCGAUGUCACUUAUACAUUGCUCCGCGCCGCAUUAGCUAGUGGGUAAGGUAACGGCUUACCAAGGCAACGAUGCGUAGCCGACCUGAGAGGGUGAUCGGCCACACUGGAACUGAGACACGGUCCAGACUCCUACGGGAGGCAGCAGUAGGGAAUCUUCCGCAAUGGGCGAAAGCCUGACGGAGCAACGCCGCGUGAGUGAUGAAGGUCUUCGGAUCGUAAAACUCUGUUAUUAGGGAAGAACAAAUGUGUAAGUAACUAUGCACGUCUUGACGGUACCUAAUCAGAAAGCCACGGCUAACUACGUG
rnacentral:rRNA from 1 species